rnacentral:rRNA from 1 species
AUGGGUGGCUUUGUUUGGUGCCUUCAGGUUUGGAUGUGGGAGCGGAUGCCCGUUGGACGCCCCGAGAAAAACAAGACACCUCUUGAAGGAUGGGUCGCACAUGACGGGAGGUAUGGAGAAGAUCCUUGGCGGUUUCCGACCGUCGCCUACUGUUGGGAGAUGGCGAAUGUGUACACAGGCAGCUCAGUUGCGCGAUACAAAUGCUACAUCAACGAGCUGGAUAUGUUGACUCAUAAGCAGGUCGAUUGGGAACCAUAUGAUGCCGAUUAUGCUUUCCGGCUGAACGAGAUGUGCACAUGUGACAGGAAUAUUUGCGGGCGAGAUGCCCACUGA